rnacentral:rRNA from 1 species
UGGCCAGCCUUCUGAAAGGAAGAUUAAUCCAGGAUGGGAUCAUGAGUUCACAUGUCCGCAUGAUUAAAGGUAUUUUCCGGUAGACGAUGGGGAUGCGUUCCAUUAGAUAGUAGGCGGGGUAACGGCCCACCUAGUCAACGAUGGAUAGGGGUUCUGAGAGGAAGGUCCCCCACAUUGGAACUGAGACACGGUCCAAACUCCUACGGGAGGCAGCAGUGAGGAAUAUUGGUCAAUGGGCGAUGGCCUGAACCAGCCAAGUAGCGUGAAGGAUGACUGCCCUAUGGGUUGUAAACUUCUUUUAUAAAGGAAUAAAGUCGGGUAUGCAUACCCGUUUGCAUGUACUUUAUGAAUAAGGAUCGGCUAACUCCGUGCCAGCAGCCGCGGUAAUACGGAGGAUCCGAGCGUUAUCCGGAUUUAUUGGGUUUAAAGGGAGCGUAGAUGGAUGUUUAAGUCAGUUGUGAAAGUUUGCGGCUCAACCGUAAAAUUGCAGUUGAUACUGGAUGUCUUGAGUGCAGUUGAGGCAGGCGGAAUUCGUGGUGUAGCGGUGAAAUGCUUAGAUAUCACGAAGAACUCCGAUUGCGAAGGCAGCCUGCUAAGCUGCAACUGACAUUGAGGCUCGAAAGUGUGGGUAUCAAACAGGAUUAGAUACCCUGGUAGUCCACACGGUAAACGAUGAAUGCUCGCUGUUUGCGAUAUACGGCAAGCGGCCAAG